GACGAACGCUGGCGGCGUGCUUAACACAUGCAAGUCGAACGGAAAGGCCCUGCUUUUGUGGGGUGCUCGAGUGGCGAACGGGUGAGUAACACGUGAGUAACCUGCCCUUGACUUUGGGAUAACUUCAGGAAACUGGGGCUAAUACCGGAUAGGAGCUCCUGCUGCAUGGUGGGGGUUGGAAAGUUUCGGCGGUUGGGGAUGGACUCGCGGCUUAUCAGCUUGAUGGUGGGGUUGUGGCUUACCAAGGCUUUGACGGGUAGCCAGCCUGAGAGGGUGACCGGCCACAUUGGGACUGAGAUACGGCCCAGACUCCUACGGGAGGCAGCAGUGGGGAAUAUUGCACACUGGGCGGAAGCAGGAAGCAGCAACGCCGCGUGCGGGAUGACGGCCUUCGGGUUGUAAACCGCUUUCGCCUGUGACGAAGCGUGAGUGACGGUAAUGGGUAAAGAAGCACCGGCUAACUACGU
rnacentral:rRNA from 1 species